AGAGUUUGAUCCUGGCUCAGGAUGAACGCUGGCGGCGUGCCUAAUACAUGCAAGUCGAGCGAACGGACGAGAAGCUUGCUUCUCUGAUGUUAGCGGCGGACGGGUGAGUAACACGUGGAUAACCUACCUAUAAGACUGGGAUAACUUCGGGAAACCGGAGCUAAUACCGGAUAAUAUUUUGAACUGCAUGGUUCAAAAGUGAAAGACGGUCUUGCUGUCACUUAUAGAUGGAUCCGCGCUGCAUUAGCUAGUUGGUAAGGUAACGGCUUACCAAGGCAACGAUGCAUAGCCGACCUGAGAGGGUGAUCGGCCACACUGGAACUGAGACACGGUCCAGACUCCUACGGGAGGCAGCAGUAGGGAAUCUUCCGCAAUGGGCGAAAGCCUGACGGAGCAACGCCGCGUGAGUGAUGAAGGUCUUCGGAUCGUAAAACUCUGUUAUUAGGGAAGAACAUAUGUGUAAGUAACUGUGCACAUCUUGACGGUACCUAAUCAGAAAGCCACGGCUAACUACGUGCCAGCAGCCGCGGUAAUACGUAGGUGGCAAGCGUUAUCCGGAAUUAUUGGGCGUAAAGCGCGCGUAGGCGGUUUUUUAAGUCUGAUGUGAAAGCCCACGGCUCAACCGUGGAGGGUCAUUGGAAACUGGAAAACUUGAGUGCAGAAGAGGAAAGUGGAAUUCCAUGUGUAGCGGUGAAAUGCGCAGAGAUAUGGAGGAACACCAGUGGCGAAGGCGACUUUCUGGUCUGUAACUGACGCUGAUGUGCGAAAGCGUGGGGAUCAAACAGGAUUAGAUACCCUGGUAGUCCACGCCGUAAACGAUGAGUGCUAAGUGUUAGGGGGUUUCCGCCCCUUAGUGCUGCAGCUAACGCAUUAAGCACUCCGCCUGGGGAGUACGACCGCAAGGUUGAAACUCAAAGGAAUUGACGGGGACCCGCACAAGCGGUGGAGCAUGUGGUUUAAUUCGAAGCAACGCGAAGAACCUUACCAAAUCUUGACAUCCUUUGACAACUCUAGAGAUAGAGCCUUCCCCUUCGGGGGACAAAGUGACAGGUGGUGCAUGGUUGUCGUCAGCUCGUGUCGUGAGAUGUUGGGUUAAGUCCCGCAACGAGCGCAACCCUUAAGCUUAGUUGCCAUCAUUAAGUUGGGCACUCUAAGUUGACUGCCGGUGACAAACCGGAGGAAGGUGGGGAUGACGUCAAAUCAUCAUGCCCCUUAUGAUUUGGGCUACACACGUGCUACAAUGGACAAUACAAAGGGCAGCGAAACCGCGAGGUCAAGCAAAUCCCAUAAAGUUGUUCUCAGUUCGGAUUGUAGUCUGCAACUCGACUACAUGAAGCUGGAAUCGCUAGUAAUCGUAGAUCAGCAUGCUACGGUGAAUACGUUCCCGGGUCUUGUACACACCGCCCGUCACACCACGAGAGUUUGUAACACCCGAAGCCGGUGGAGUAACCUUUUAGGAGCUAGCCGUCGAAGGUGGGACAAAUGAUUGGGGUGAAGUCGUAACAAGGUAGCCGUAUCGGAAGGUGCGGCUGGGUCACCU
rnacentral:rRNA from 1 species